UACAUGUGGGGCAAGCGUUGUUCGGAAUUACUGGGCAUAAAGGGUGCGUAGGCGGCUUGUUAAGUCAGGGGUGAAAGUUUUCGGCCCAACCGGAAAAUUGCCUUUGAUACUGGCGAGCUUGAGUGCGUGAGGGGUAACCGGAACGAGCAGUGUAGCGGUGAAAUGCGUAGAUAUUGGGAGGAACACCAGUGGCGAAGGCGGCUACCUGGACCGGUUCUGACGCUGAGGCGCGAAAGCGUGGGGAGCAAACAGG
rnacentral:rRNA from 1 species